rnacentral:rRNA from 1 species
AGAGUUUGAUCAUGGCUCAGGAUGAACGCUGACAGAAUGCUUAACACAUGCAAGUCUACUUGAUCCUUCGGGUGAAGGUGGCGGACGGGUGAGUAACGCGUAAAGAACUUGCCUUACAGACUGGGACAACAUUUGGAAACGAAUGCUAAUACCGGAUAUUAUGAUUUGGGUCGCAUGAUCUGGUUAUGAAAGCUAUAUGCGCUGUGAGAGAGCUUUGCGUCCCAUUAGUUAGUUGGUGAGGUAACGGCUCACCAAGACGAUGAUGGGUAGCCGGCCUGAGAGGGUGAACGGCCACAAGGGGACUGAGACACGGCCCUUACUCCUACGGGAGGCAGCAGUGGGGAAUAUUGGACAAUGGACCAAAAGUCUGAUCCAGCCAAUUCUGUGUGCACGAUGAAGUUUUUCGGAAUGUAAAGUGCUUUCAGUUGGGAAGAAGUCAGUGACGGUACCAACAGAAGAAGCGACGGCUAAAUACGUGCCAGCCGCCGC